rfam:Gorilla gorilla gorilla genomic chromosome, chr16, whole genome shotgun sequence
GCCAGGUACAGUGGCAUGUGCCUGCAGUCCCAGCUACUCGGGAGGCUGAGACGGGAGGAUUGCUUGAGCCCAGGAGUUCUGGGCUGUAAUUCACUAUGUUGAUUAGGUGUCUGCACUAAGUGUGGCAUCGAUAUGGUGAUCUCCUAGGAACGAGGGACCACCAGGUAGCCUAAGGAGGGGUGAACCAGCCCAGCCCAGGUCGAAAAUGGAGCAGGUCAAAACUCCUGUGCUAAUCAGUAGUGGGAUCGUGCCUGCGAGUAGCUGUUGCACUCCAGCCUGGGCAAUAUAGCAAGACCUCAUCUCCA